rnacentral:rRNA from 1 species
GGAUGCGAUCAUACAAGCACUAAAGCAUCGGAUCCCAUCAGAACUCCGAAGUUAAGCGUGCUUGGGCGAGAGUAGUACUAGGAUGGGUGACCUCCUGGGAAGUCCUCGUGUUGCAUUCC